AUGGCGGACGUAGAGAACGUCGCCAUAGCGGAGCCAGACCUCGAGCGACGCCCCAUGUAUUCGGUGUGGAUGGAAAAUUUGACAGAUUACUUGCUCAGGUACAUGACUCUCGGUGACGAUGAUUUGAUGGUGGCGGUGGUGCCGCAGCCGCAGCAGCGUACCAGGUUGACCCUCAUCGUCCUCGUCACCGCCGGCGCCAUCUUUGCGUUUUUUGCUACCUUCUACGUGGCCUUUAAAUACGAGAAGAACGACAUGAGGGAUGUUGGUGUUUUUAUAUGUAUGCUCCUUGCAUCCCUCCUUGGAACCUGUUCUAUUUCGCUCAUUGGAGAGUGCUACCAUGGGUAUCAAAACGAGGAAGGAGUAGCAGAUUUCUUUCUCCAGUUAUAG
rnacentral:rRNA from 1 species